GAUGAACGCUAGCGGCAGGCUUAACACAUGCAAGUCGAGGGGUAUAGUAGCAAUACUAGAGACCGGCGCACGGGUGCGUAACGCGUAUGUAAUCUACCUUUUGCAGAGGGAUAGCCCAGAGAAAUUUGGAUUAAUACCUCAUAGUAUUAUGAUAUGGCAUCAUAUUAUAAUUAAAGUCACAACGGCAAAAGAUGGGCAUGCGUCCCAUUAGCUAGUUGGUAAGGUAACGGCUUACCAAGGCGACGAUGGGUAGGGGUCCUGAGAGGGAGAUCCCCCACACUGGUACUGAGACACGGACCAGACUCCUACGGGAGGCAGCAGUGAGGAAUAUUGGACAAUGGGCGCAAGCCUGAUCCAGCCAUGCCGCGUGCAGGAUGACGGUCCUAUGGAUUGUAAACUGCUUUUGCACAGGAAGAAACAACGCUACGUGUAGCGUCUUGACGGUACUGUGAGAAUAAGGAUCGGCUAACUCCGUGCCAGCCGCCGCAGUAAGAC
rnacentral:rRNA from 1 species